rnacentral:rRNA from 1 species
CCUACGGGGGGCAGCAGUGGGGAAUAUUGGGCAAUGGGCGAAAGCCUGACCCAGCAACGCCGCGUGAAGGAAGAAGGCUUUCGGGUUGUAAACCUCUUUUGACAGGGAAGAGCAGAAGACGGUACCUGUCGAAUAAGCCACGGCUAACUACGUGCCAGCAGCCGGGGUAAUACGUAGGGGGCAAGCGUUAUCCGGAUUUACUGGGUGUAAAGGGGGCGCAGACGGCGAUGCAAGCCAGGAGUGAAAGCCCGGGCCCCAACCCCGGGACUGCUGUUGGCACUGCGUGGCUGGAGUGCAGGAGGGGCAGGCGGAAUUCCUGGUGUAGCGGUGAAAUGCGUAGAUAUCAGGAGGAACACCGGUGGCGAAGGCGGCCUGCUGGACUGCAACUGACGUUGAGGCCCGAAAGCGUGGGGAGCAAACAGGAUUAGAUACCCCGGUAGUC